CUCCGCUUGACGUCACAGGCGGCGGCCAUGGGGCUGAGCGGGAAGGGAGGGAGGGAGGGAGGGAGGAGGGAGG
rnacentral:miRNA from 10 species